GUUUGGAUCCUGGCUCAGGAUGAACGCUAGCGGCAGGCCUAAUACAUGCAAGCCGGACGGUAAGUUGAGUAGCAAUACUUAGCCAAGAGUGUCGUACGGGUGCGUAACACGUAUGCAACCUACCCUAUACAGGAGGAUAGCCUAGGGAAACCUGGAUUAACCCUUCAUAGUAUUAUUGGAUGGCAUCAUUUGAUAAUUAAAACUGAGGUGGUAUAGGAUGGGCAUGCGUCUGAUUAGUUAGUUGGCGGGGUAAUGGCCCACCAAGACGAUGAUCAGUAGGGGGUUCUGAGAGGAAGAUCCCCCACACUGGCACUGAGAUACGGGCCAGACUCCUACGGGAGGCAGCAGUAGGGAAUAUUGGUCAAUGGAUGCAAGUCUGAACCAGCCAUGCCGCGUGCAGGAAGAAGGCCUUCUGGGUUGUAAACUGCUUUUGCCAGGGGAUAAAAUUUCCAUGCGUGGAAAACUGAAGGUACCUGGUGAAUAAGCCACGGCUAACUACGUG
rnacentral:rRNA from 1 species